UACACAAGGAUAGCUCAGCUGGCAGAGCACAAGGCUCUUAAUCUCACGGUUGUGGGUUCGAGCCCCACACUGAGCAAAA